rnacentral:rRNA from 1 species
CCAUUCCACCCUGCACAACGCUCGAUCUCAUCUGAUUCUCGGAAGCUAAGCAGAGGUCGGGCCCUGGUUAGUACUUGGAUGGGAAACAAAAUGUUAAAAAAAGAAGAAAAAAGCC